UAGCCGUAAACGAUACUCGCUAGGUGUCGGCCACGGUGCGACCGUUGUCGGUGCCGUAGGGAAGCCGUGAAGCGAGCCACCUGGGAAGUACGGCCGCAAGGCUGAAACUUAAAGGAAUUGGCGGGGGAGCACCACAACGGGUGGAGCUUGCGGUUUAAUUGGAUUCAACGCCGGAAAUCUUACCGGGACCGACAGCAACAUGAAGGCCAGGCUGAAGACUUUGCCGGGUUAGCUGAGAGGAGGUGCAUGGCGUAGUCGUGU
rnacentral:rRNA from 1 species